CCUACGGGAGGCAGCAGUAAGGGAUAUUGCGCAAUGGGGGAAACCCUGACGCAGCAACGCCGCGUGGGCGAUGAAGGUCUUCGGAUUGUAAAGCCCUUUUCUGGGGGAUGAGGAAGGACAGUACCCCAGGAAUAAGUCUCGGCUAACUACGUGCCAGCAGCCGCGGUAAAACGUAGGAGGCAAGCGUUAUCCGGAUUUACUGGGCGUAAAGGGCGUCUAGGCGGUGUCCUAAGUUGAGCGUGAAAUCUCCCGGCUCAACUGGGAGGGGUCGUUCAAUACUGGGACACUUGAGGGCAGGAGAGGAAAGUGGAAUUCCCGGUGUAGUGGUGGAAUACUUAGAUAUCGGGAGGAACACCAGUGGCGAAGGCGGCUUUCUGGCCUGCACCUGACGCUGAAGCGCGAAAGCGUGGGUAGCGAACGGGAUUAGAUACCCCGGUAGUCCACGCCGUAAACGAUGGAUACUAGGUGUUGGUGGCUAUUGACCCCAUCAGUGCCGCAGCUAACGCAUUAAGUAUCCCGCCUGGGGACUACGGCCGCAAGGCUAAAACUCAAAGGAAUUGACGG
rnacentral:rRNA from 1 species